UUUUUGAAAAUAAUUUAAAGUGUUAUCUGCCCACUGAUAAAUAUAUUAAAGGGCUGCAGUAUUUUGUCUGUACAAAGGUAGCAUAAUCAUUAGUCUUUUAAUUGGUGACUAGUUUGAAAGAUUGGAUGAAAUAUAAACUGUCUCUAAUUAAUUUAUAAAAUUUAAUUUUUUAGUAAAAAAGCUAAAAUAAUUUUAAAAGACGAGAAGACCCUAUAGAGUUUUAUAAUUUGUUUAAUUAUUAUUAAUAUGUAAAUUUUAAAAUUAAAAUUAAAUAAAUUAUUUUGUUGGGGUGACAGAAAAAUUAAAUUAACUUUUUUAGAUAAUUAACAUUAAUUUAUGAAUAAUUGAUCCAUUAAUAUUGAUUAAAAGAAAAAAUUACCUUAGGGAUAACAGCGUAAUUUUUUUUGUUAGUUCAAAUAGGAAAAAAAGUUUGCGACCUCGAUGUUGGCUUAAGAUAAAAUUUAAACG
rnacentral:rRNA from 1 species